GAGUUUGAUCGUGGCUCAGGAUGAACGCUGGCGGCGUGCUUAACACAUGCAAGUCGAGCGAAGCGCUCUGUCCGGAUUCUUUCGGGAUGACGGACUUAGUGACUGAGCGGCGGACGGGUGAGUAACGCGUGGGUAACCUGCCUCAUACAGGGGGAUAACAGUUAGAAAUGACUGCUAAUACCGCAUAAGACCACAGCAUCACAUGGUGCAGGGGUCAAAGGAGCAAUCCGGUUUGAGAUGGGCUCGCGUCCGAUUAGCUAGUUGGUGAGAUAACGCCCCACCAAGGCGACGAUCGGUAGCCGACCUGAGAGGGU
rnacentral:rRNA from 1 species